CAUUUUUCUUGGCCAAGGACUCAUUAGAAGACAGGAUUAGAGGCUGGGCGUGGUGGCUCACAUCUGUAAUCUCAGCACUUUGGGAGCCCAUGGUGGGCAGAUCACCUGAGAUCAGGAGUUCGAGACCAGCCUGGCCAACAGAGUGAAACCCCGUUUCUACUAAAAAAAUAAAAAUUAGCUGAGUGUGGUGGUACAUGCCUGUAAUCCCAGCUACUCAGGAGGCUGAGGCAGGAGAAUCACUUGAACCUGGGAGGUGGAGGUUGCAGUGAGCCGAGCUCAUGCCACUACACUUCAGCCUGGGCCACAAGCACAAAACUCUGUUUCAAAAAAAAAAAAAGAAGAAGAAGGGCUUAGACAUAGUGAAACUAGAGACAGGGAGGACAGUCUGGCAGUGAGAAAGGGAACGGUAGAUACUACUCCAAUCUGCAGAUGCAUUGUGCAGUGGAGGUUUAAGCUAUGCCAAAGGCAAAAAGAAAGCUGGAAACUGUGGGGCUGGCAGGGCUCAAUGAAGAACUUUAUCUGGAUUUCAUUCACAAACAGCAGCUCCCUCCUCGGGAAAGGACCUGUGUGUCUCCCCAGAUCGGAACUGGAUGAGAAAGCCAGCUAUCAUGUCAUGAGGACACUCAAACUGCCCCGUGAAGAGGCUAACGUGGCGAGGAGUUUCCCGCCAACAACCAGCAUUAACUUGCCCGUCCUGCAAGUGGCCACUGUGAAAGCAGAUCCUGAAGCCUCAGUCCAGCCUUCAGACGACGGCAGCGCAACCUCAUCUGAGAGACAACAUCUCGACUGCAACCUCCUGAGAGACAUCAACCAGAACAGUCUAGCUGAGCCACUCACAAAUUUCCAACCUACAGUACUCCAACUAAGAAAAUAAAUGUUUGUUACUUUAAGCUGCCAAGUUUGUGUAACUUGUUAUUCAGCAAUAGAUAACAUAGCAGGU
rnacentral:lncRNA from 13 species